rnacentral:lncRNA from 1 species
GGGGGGCGGGGGCAACAAGAGGUUUAAAACUACGUUUCAGCCUUUUACUGGCCAUAGGACGCUCUGAAUGACUUUUUUUCCACAUGACACCGAUUGGUUUUACAUCUGAAUUAUCUAAUAUAUUGUGCCUGCUUCUUCAACAAUAGUUUCAAUUUGGUGAGGUUCCUGGCUCUGUGUCCCUGCUUCUUCACCAACUGUAUCGAUAUCUCCAUCAUAUGGGCUCUAAUGUUAGAACUGGAAUAGUUCUUUUUCCAAGAAAGAGUCACUGGAUUAUGUUUGUCGUUUAAACGUUGUUACUGCAUAGAUGGGUA